rnacentral:ncRNA from 1 species
CAAUUGGUUUGCGCUUAACGCGCGAUUAAAAGGGAACGGAGUGCGAAUCUCCGACAGUCCCGCUGCUGUGUGCGGCCUUGAUAUUACUUAACGGACCAUUUUUGCGUGCCACUGACAUUUUUUCGGGAAGGCCGUCCGUUAUGUGCCGCGAGCCAGAAGACCUGCCGUUGCAU